UUCAGUGUUUAAGAAGUAAGUAGUAGUAAGCUAACUUGAGUUAUUGCUAGCCCAAUACUGCUCAACUGUAACUCACUUUUAUGCUAGGCUUGCCAGAUUGGGCAGUUUCCCACCCAAAUCGGCCAGUUUGAAAGACUGUUUGUCAUGUAUGCUUGAUGAUCUUAAUGUUUGAAUGAAAACUUGCUGUUAUUAAAAAUUGUGAUUUUAACAUUUUUUAAGUUUGUGAGUUACUAUUGUUGGCAGAAAUUAAAAUAUAAUUUGUGAUCACUUCUAGUGAAUAAGGAUAGUAUGCAAGUACAAACCAGGCAUUAUAAAACUGCAGGAAAUGUACAAGAAGUAGAAGCCCAAUGUAGCUGAUGUAUACCAGUUUUUUUAUCUGGAGUUUCAGGUCAUAAGAGAAGAUACCAGAGCUUCAUCCAUCGUGGAUGUUUAUCCAGAGAAUUGCAUUGUGCUUGGAGAAAUGCAUAGUCCUUGCUCCCCACAAUGAUGAAUUCUUCGAGGAAGUCAAAAUGAGAUGGGAGGAUUGCUGCGCCAGGGUCAUUUUACGGAGUAUGAAAGAAGGCAAUAAAGCCACCAAUCAACAGGGAUAAAAUGGAAGCCAACUUUGCUCUGGUGAAGGCCCUUCCCAUUCUCUUUCCCUCGGUGGCACCUCCAUCAAAGAAACUGGGAUGUGCUAGUGAAGCUUUACUGCAUGUUCAGGAGUCAACAGAAGAUCCAAACGUCUUCAUCCAGAAGAGAGGCCUGUCAAGUCCAGUCUUGGUGUUCGAUGGCUGUAGAUGAAUCGUUGAUAUUGGUUUGAUGCCGGUGACGUUUGAAAAAGAAAAGCUUCACGAGGGUCUGAUUUUCUAAAUGCCAUAUUAUUACACACUACAUCUGACCUACACAAAAUGCGUGGCCACCCUUCUGUCAUUCAGACAGAUCCUUCAGGAUACAAUUCACAAGCGGGACAGCACCACCACAUGAAAGAGCAUUAAAGUAAAGAAUUUGUUGGAAGAUGAACUGCUUUUGCAGUUCAAUGUUUAUGUCUGCUCUUUAGAUGAGUAUUCUAAUUGUGUUGUUAAAGAAACUGUUGUAUUCCUAGAAAAUUUGGGUACAUUUGUAACACAAAUCUCAGUUUGUAAGUUAAAUAAAAGAAUCGAAAAGUGAA